rnacentral:rRNA from 1 species
UACGUAGGGCGCAAGCGUUUAUCCGGAAUUAUUGGGCGUAAAGAGCUCGUAGGCGGUUUGUUGCGUCGGCUGUGAAAUCCCGAGGCUCAACCUCGGGUCUGCAGUCGAUACGAGCAAACUAGAGUGUUGCAGGGGAGACUGGAAUUCCUGGUGUAGCGGUGAAAUGCGCAGAUAUCAGGAGGAACACCGGUGGCGAAGGCGGGUCUCUGGGCAACAACUGACGCUGAGGAGCGAAAGCGUGGGGAGCGAACAGG